CCUACGGGAGGCAGCAGUCGAGAAUCAUUCACAAUGGGGGAAACCCUGAUGGUGCGACGCCGCGUGGGGGAAUGAAGGUCUUCGGAUUGUAAACCCCUGUCAUGUGGGAGCAAAUUAAAAAGAUAGUACCACAAGUGGAAGAGACGGCUAACUCUGUGCCAGCAGCCGCGGUAAUACAGAGGUCUCAAGCGUUGUUCGGAAUCACUGGGCGUAAGGGGUGCGUAGGCUGUUUCGUAAGUCGGGUGUGAAAGGCGCGGGCUCAACCCGCGGACGGCACAUGAUACUGCGAGACUAGAGUAAUGGAGGGGGAACCGGAAUUCUCGGUGUAGCAGUGAAAUGCGUAGAUAUCGAGAGGAACACUCGUGGCGAAGGCGGGUUCCUGGACAUUAACUGACGCUGAGGCACGAAGGCCAGGGGAGCGAAAGGGAUUAGAUACCCUUGUAGUC
rnacentral:rRNA from 1 species